CCGCCGCCGGGGGUGCGGGCUGUCAGCCCCCAGCACCAGUGACCCGCGGUUUCCUGGAGCCCACGCCCCCUUCGUGGGUCCGGGAGGAGCCGCCUCUGAGCCCGCCGGAUGACGUCCGUGGGCACAGCCGCGCUGACGUCGCCAGGCGCACGUUCGGGAACUGUCAUUGGCCGGGAACCGCUCGGCCCUCUCACCGCCCGACCCGGAUUCCUUGGCCGCUGAGGAGACCCGGUCCCGCCAGAGGCGAGCCCGGGUGCCCGGCGGGCUCUCCGCUGCGCCGGUGGGAGCGCGGCCCGGGCCGGCGAGAAUGGUUCUCCCGCGAGGGACUCACCGGUGGAGCGGCUCUGCAGUGUUUCGGCGCUUGUCUGCAGACACUUGUUGGUAGUGACGGACCGCCUUUCCCUAAGUGCAUUUCAGGAUGAACCACCGGAAGUCACUAAUCAGUUGCACUUUAAAGAGAAGUUAUUCCGGGUGGCCUGAUGUAAUGGUGGGAAAUCUUUACAGACAGUCCGACGGUGAGGUUCAAAGCAGCAGCGGGUUGCUUCACUGUUGGCCUUGAAGACGCAGUCUCGCGUGCUGAGUGGGGCGCCGCGGCCCAGUCCCGCGGAAUUCGGGAUUCAGCGCACAGGCCUGGGAGAAGAGCGUGGGCUACAGGAAGCCCGGCCCUGAGAAGGCCCCGACUCCAGCGCCCUGAGGAUCUGAGCCCAGGCCAGGAACCCUGACUACAGAGCUGUGAAACGGUAAAAAGCCGCUGUUUUAAAUCACCGUGUCAUCAUUUGUUAUCGUGGAAAUAGAAAUGUUUUCACCGAAGAGCCUUGUGAAACUAAGCCUUCAUGCAACUUAACCGGGGGAAAAGAAAGCAAAACAACCAAUUAUCACCCAAAACGCUCCAAAGAUAAUUCAGGCUCGUGAAAGGAAGCAAUUAACUGAGUUUAAAACAGAAAAUUCAUUGUUCUCCCACUAAGUUAAUGUGGUAAUUAAGGCAAAUGCAGGGGUUUCUUUUCCUUUUUUUAAACUUAAGAUUCACAUGUUCAUCUUUUCUUCUACCUGGGGAUCAAGCCCGGUCUCCGGUGUCUCCUGCAUUGCAGCGGGUUCUUCACCGCUGGAGCCACUGGGGAAGCCCUAAAUGAAAUCACUAAAGCAGAAGAUGUUCUACCACGUGUUGUUCAGUCACUGACUCAUGUCCAGCUCCUUCCGACCCCACGGACUGUAGCCCGCCAGGCUCCUCUGUCCAUGGGAUUGCCCAGGCGAGCAUUCUGGAGUGGGUGGCCGUUCCCUUCUCCAGGAGACCUUCCCACCCACAGAUUGAACCCGGUCUGCUGCACUGUCAGGUAGCUCUACUGCCGAGCCUCAUCUCCUCAGUUCUGUGCCCAGCUCCUAUAUCACAACCGAUACUUUUUUACUGUCAACUGGUAACGUAGGACCUUUAGAAAGAAUUAAGUUAUGUGUGACUCCCUAACCAAUUUAAUGUUUUUCCCUCUUAAAUUUAAUAACAUUUUUGUUUCUUGUUAUAUAAAUUUAGAAUAGUUAUACAUUUGCUCACAAUAAAGAAAUGACAGAUAAUUAUAAUUACUAUGGCAACCACAAUUCUAAAUGUUGAGAACUGGUGGUAUCAGUAUAAUAAUCAAGUGUCCACAUUCCAAAUUUGUUUGCUGUGUUCCCAAAUCGUAUCACGAGUGUCAAGUUGCCCCUUCAUAACCAGUUCCGUUCUUACUAAGGGUUUUAUCUCUCCUUCCAGAGGUAAGGCAGUCAUAACCAGGAUUCACAAACUAGAAGGACUGAAUGGACUGUUCAAGGUUUAACCCCUUCUGGAGCAGGUGGGAGAUGGGAGGGUGGCUGAAGAGGUGAUGUGGGGUGAUUCUCACCUCUCCUCUGACUUCUGUCUGACACUGCUGGCUCAUUAGCCCCUGGAUUAUGAGAUUUUCUUGUUUUAUGUUGCCUCCUUAGCCAAGUGAUAAGAUGUUCUUUUUCGCCAUUCAGGGAGUAGAUACUUCUCUUUGGAUGUAGAAAGGGAUGAUAAAGUACUUUUUUAAGUUAUUUUUCUUUUCUAAAAUAUUUUUUAUUUUUUCCAAAGAUAGAAAGUUAGAGUCAUACCUAAGUAUGAAACAAUGGAAGAAAUGAUUUUAGCAACUGUUCUCUUUAACUUCAGAAACUACAUAAAUUCCCUCAACUUUCUGGAAGGACAGACUUUAUCGGUAUGUGACCUGUGUUACCCUGAGUAGCUUUGGGUUUCAGUUCUGUUUCACUUGCUUUUAAAUUACACAUUGCUGUUUGUUGA